UUUCAGGAACCGUGCGAGUAGACGCCGCCCAACCCCGCCAGGUCCGGAAGGAAGCAACGGUAAGCGGAGGUAUACUGCGCCGCGGCACCCCUGUAAACA
rnacentral:SRP_RNA from 1 species